rnacentral:rRNA from 1 species
UACGAAGGGGGCUAGCGUUAUUCGGAAUUAUUGGGCGUAAAGGGCGCGUAGGCGGCUAGAUGUGUCAAAGGUGAAAUCCCUCGGCUCAACUGAGGAACUGCCUUUGAAACUGUCUGGCUUGAGGCCGGGAGAGGGUAGCGGAAUUCCAGGUGUAGCGGUGAAAUGCGUAGAUAUCUGGAGGAAUACCGGUGGCGAAGGCGGCAUCCUGGACCGGCAUUGACGCUGAGGAGCGAAAGCUAGGGGAGCAAACGGG